UAAUACGUAGGGGGCAAGCGUUAUCCGGAAUUACUGGGUGUAAAGGGUGCGUAGGCGGCCUCACAAGUCAGAUGUGAAACCCAAGGGCUCAACUCUUGGUUUGCAUCAGAAACUGUGGAGCUAGAGUGCAGGAGAGGAAAGUGGAAUUCCUAGUGUAGCGGUGAAAUGCGUAGAUAUUAGGAGGAACACCAGUAGCGAAGGCGACUUUCUGGAAUGUAACUGACGCUGAGGCACGAAAGCGUGGGUAGCAAACAGG
rnacentral:rRNA from 1 species